rnacentral:rRNA from 1 species
CCCUUAGAUGUUCUGGGCCGCACGCGCGCUACACUGACGAUGGCAACGAGUUUUUCCUUCGCCGAAAGGUGUGGGUAAUCUUUUGAAACAUCGUCGUGCUGGGGAUAGAUCAUUGCAAUUUUUGAUCUUGAACGAGGAAUUCCUAGUAAGCGCGAGUCAUCAGCUCGCGUUGAUUACGUCCCUGCCCUUUGUACACACCGCCCGUCGCUACUACCGAUUGAAUGGUUUAGUGAGGACUCUUGAUUGGCGCCGCCGCCCCGGCAACGGAGCAGCGGACUGCCGAAAAGUUGUUCAAACUUGAUCAUUUAGAGGAAGUAAAAGUCGUAACA